GUUACACGAAGUAACCUUACCAGGGUUUGACAUGCAAGUGGUAGGAAAGCCGAAAGGUUGACCGACCCUUCGGGGAGCUUGCACAGGUGCUGCAUGGCUGUCGUCAGCUCGUGUCGUGAGAUGUUCGGUUAAGUCCGCUAACGAGCGCAACCCUCGUCGUGUGUUAUACGUGUCACACGAUACUGCCGGUAUCAAGCCGGAGGAAGGUGGGGAUGAUGUCAAGUCAGCAUGGCCUUUAUAUCCUGGGCUACACACACGCUACAAUGGCAGAUACAAUAGGUUGCGAAACCGCGAGGUGGAGCCAAUCCUCAAAGUCUGUCUCAGUUCAGAUUGUAGGCUGCAACUCGCCUGCAUGAAGUUGGAGUUGCUAGUAAACGCAGGUCAGCCAUACUGCGUUGAAUACGUUCCCGGGGCUU
rnacentral:rRNA from 1 species